GCUUCCUUAGCUCAGUCGGUAGAGCGCGAGUCUCAUAGGAUCACUGAUGCAGUGAGUAAUCUCGAGGUCGCAAGUUCGAGCCUUGCAGGGAGCA